AGAUGUUUAGUAGUUUAUCUAUAUUUGAUUGCGGUUUGAAAGUUUUUAACAUCUU
rnacentral:tRNA from 1 species